CGCCAUAACUUUUGAUGCCAAUUUUCUCCAUGCUAAAAUGAUUUUUUGCAUGAGAUUUCUUCAUGACAAAGAGUUCUCCACCCUCCCUUUCUCAGGUCCAAAGAUGGAUAUUAUCUGGUUUUAUAUGGUAUGUUCAAAUGAGAUUUGAAUUGGUUAGCAUAUUGAUAAGGUUUGACCUUAUCUAUAAAGCCUUGCUGCCCACUUCCUUCUUUUGCCCUUCUUUUGUGUGACA
rnacentral:lncRNA from 1 species